AUGCCCAGUCUGAAGCCAAGACUAGUUUAUGGCCAGUAGCCAUAGUCACAAGUGACAAGCUGCUGAGCCUACUCCAAAUGAAACAACCACAGGCCAUCAGAGCGUUCACUGAGUCCACUGGAUUAGCAAAGCAGGACAACGCCUUCUGUACCACCAUCUAUGCCAUCUAGUUAGGAGGCAGAAUCUCAGGACUAAUUGCUUCAUUUCUUCAUUUGGCCUUGAAAAAACAUUUCAUUAUUUGUUGUUGCCUGCUAUGUGGAAGGGACCAAGAAUAUCCUCUAAAACGGAAUCUGUUUUGUUUGGUGCUAUGGAGACCCUAGGGAGGAAAAAAUUUCUUUGAAAGAGGGGCUGUCAUUUCCAACUUAUCUUUACUACUCACCUCAAUGCUCGAGGAUCUCUCCACUCAUUCAUGAAGCGUAAUAAGGAGGACACGAAAGCUGGAGCUGGGGGAUGUCUGGCUAUUUUAUAUAAGAUGGCUGAGGAAGGCAGCAAAGGUAUUCAAGCCAAGACCUGAGGGACACGAGCAAGCAAGCCACACAGACGUGUGCAAGAAAGGGGAUUGCAGCAAACGUGAAGAGGAAGCUGCAGCGUGGUUUGUAAAUCAUGAAAGAUCAAGGAAGCUGUGAGGACACAAUGAGAAGAUGGCCAUCUGCAAGCCAGGAAGAGAGCCCUCCCUGAGGAACUGAACGGGCCAGCACCUUGGGCUUGGACUUCCAGUCUCCUGAACUGUGAGAAAAUCAACUUCUGUGUUUUACGCACCCAGUCUGGUAUUCUGUCAUGGCCGCCUGAGCAGACUAGCACAGUGGGUCAUGAUAUCAAUUUAGCAGUUCACGAUCAGCGUUUAAAAAAGGAAGAAUAGACUUUAAAGUGUCAGAAUGUGUUGCAUAUCGUAGGGUUAACAUCAUUUCAUGAAGUUUUUUGUUUGCAUGUGUGUCCUGGAUCGUGUUGUAAAAUGUAUUUCUUCUGAGGGUCUUGGUCUAAGGGUUAAAAACUACCUGCUUUAAACACCAAACAAAGGUGACUUUUGGCAACUAAGCUGAUGCACAGUGCUAACGCCUAAAAGCUUCAGCCCAGCAUCCUACAGCCGCGGGCAGGUGUGCACGGGGCUUGUGUGAGACCUGUGUUCAGCCGCCACACCAUGUGCCAGAAAAGCAAAAGCUUUAGAUUGUUCCGGACCUCCAGUCCCCUCUCUGCCUGGCGAUGGGAAAUAGGACUGACUCCUUUGACCUGAGCUAGUUACCCAUCCACACUGGAAUUCUGGACAAUUUGAGGAGGAGAGAGAAGUCUCAAGAGGCUUCUUGCUCAAUAAUGGUUAUGGUGGUUUUAAAACAUGACUUCAAAUUCUUUGGGACUCCUCCCAUCAAAAGUGGGGUGCUUGUGAAGAUAUUUCCAAGGACGUAGUUCCCUGGAAGGAAGAAGUUCUGCGCUCCAGUGGGACCUCAUCAGAUACCCCUCCAUCUCUCCAUCUCCGGCUCUCCAGGAUAUUCUUCACAGCCUCCUCCUGCUGUUGUCCCUCUGUCUCUCUACAUCUUGGGAUAAUGGAAAGAUGGCUUCAGAUCAGGCCUCCAUUGUGCAACUGGCCCAUCCAGAAACUCAAGAAACUUCCCUGUGCCCAAAGUGGAGGUGGGCCUGCUCUACACCCUGUGUCAUCUCUCACCAGUUACUUUAGCCUGCUCAAAAUGUCCAAUGAGCAGAACAGCAAAAGCACAGAGCAGUCAGGCACAGAAAGUGAGUCCCUCUUUCUCCCAGGUAACCAGUCUUGCAAGCCCUUCUCACCUGGCUAGGAGGAAGGAAGAACAUCCCCUUCCCAUGUCCUACAGGAAGGAGUACCUUUCCACCUGGAAAUUCAAUCCCAAAGUCUCCAAUUCCACUAACUCCUUUUAUAUCAGCUGACAGUAGGCAAAUGAUCAUGAGAUGAUUGGAGGAGCAAAACUGGUGCUCUUCCCUCUGAGAUGUCUCUGGUAGCUCUUUAGUUUCUGU
ensembl:lncRNA